GCUGCAGCUGGACGAGGAGGGGCGUGCCCGGCUGCGGGCCGAGCAGGUCGGCUUUGUGUUCCAGUCCUUCCUGCUGCU
rnacentral:tRNA from 2 species